rnacentral:rRNA from 1 species
UACGUAGGGCGCGAGCGUUGUCCGGAAUUAUUGGGCGUAAAGGGCUUGUAGGCGGCUUGUCGCGUCUGCCGUGAAAUCCUCUGGCUUAACUGGGGGCGUGCGGUGGGUACGGGCUGGCUUGAGUGCGGUAGGGGAGACUGGAAUUCCUGGUGUAGCGGUGGAAUGCGCAGAUAUCAGGAGGAACACCGGUGGCGAAGGCGGGUCUCUGGGCCGUUACUGACGCUGAGGAGCGAAAGCAUGGGGAGCGAACAGGAUUAGAUACCCUGGUAGUCCAUGCUGUAAACGUUGGGCACUAGGUGUGGGGGCCGUCCUUGGUUUCUGCGCCGUAGCUAACGCUUUAAGUGCCCCGCCUGGGGAGUACGGCCGCAAGGCUAAA